GAUACUGGCGGACGGGUGAGUAACACGUGGGUAACCUGCCUGUAAGACUGGGAUAACUCCGGGAAACCGGGGCUAAUACCGGAUGCUUGUUGAACCGCAUGGUUCAAACAUAAAAGGUGGCUUCGGCUACCACUUACAGAUGGACCCGCGGCGCAUUAGCUAGUUGGUGAGGUAAUGGCUCACCAAGGCAACGAUGCGUAGCCGACCUGAGAGGGUGAUCGGCCACACUGGGACUGAGAACACGGCCCAGACUCCUACGGGAGGCAGCAGUAGGGAAUCUUCCGCAAUGGACGAAAAGUCUGACGGAGCAACGCCCGCGUGAGUGAUGAAGGUUUUCGGAUCGUAAAACUCUGUUGUUAGGGAAGAACAAGUACCGUUUCGAAUGGGCGUACCUUGAC
rnacentral:rRNA from 1 species